rnacentral:rRNA from 1 species
UACGAAGGGGGCUAGCGUUGUCCGGAAUUACUGGGCGUAAAGCGCGUGUAGGCGGGUCUUUUAAGUCAGGGGUGAAAUGCCAGGGCUCAACCUUGGAACUGCCUUUGAUACUGGAGACCUUGAGUCCGGGAGAGGUGAGUGGAAUUGCGAGUGUAGAGGUGAAAUUCGUAGAUAUUCGCAAGAACACCAGUGGCGAAGGCGGCUCACUGGCCCGGAACUGACGCUGAGACGCGGAAAGCGGUGGGGAGCCAAACAGGGAUUAAGAAACC